ensembl:processed_transcript AA465934 expressed sequence AA465934
GAUGCAGGCCCGAAGAGGCGAAGGGGAGAGGACGCGGGAAGCCAGUGUGCCCCGGACGCAGUGUCCUAGCGCUCGAUCGGGUCAUCCUCUGCAGCCCAGAUUGUCCCUGUCCAAGACUGCGGAAUGAAGAAUCCAGCUUUGAGAACCUGUGUGUAAGUCCUCUCUGGUCAGCAAAGGAAUCUGUGCAGAGCGCCAUGAAUUAGAGGAUGGGGGAAUGAGUGCUUGAAGAUGCCCGAGGUAUGGUCCUUAUCCGUGUGACAUUUGGAGGUCCAGGUGAGAAAUCAGGGUUGAAAACUGCAUGGAGGAUUCAUCAUUUCUGCCCUGAAUUGGAAUCAAUUCCUUAUUGACUUAUUAUUACUGUAUUAAAAGUGUUUUUAAUUAACC